rnacentral:rRNA from 1 species
CACGCUGUAAACGAUGAGAACUAGCCGUUGGGCACAAUUGAGUGUUUAGUGGCGCAGCUAACGCGAUAAGUUCUCCGCCUGGGGAGUACGGCCGCAAGGUUAAAACUCAAAUGAAUUGACGGGGGCCCGCACAAGCGGUGGAGCAUGUGGUUUAAUUCGAUGCAACGCGAAGAACCUUACCUGGUCUUGACAUGUCGGGAACCCUUGAGAGAUCGAGGGGUGCCUUCGGGAACCCGAACACAGGUGC